GAGUUAACUUUCAUUGUGGCAAAAGUUAGCCACUGGACAACAAAGUAUCCUCGAAUCAACAGGACAAAAUGGACAAACAGGACAUAAAACAAAGGAUUACUGAUUCUUGCCAAAACAAGUGUGGUUAUGGCUUUAUCAAAAGGCAUCUUCAGAGGCCAGGACAAUAUGGCACCAUCCCUGAAGUGGCCUUCGCAAUUCGAAAAAGGUACAGUGCCCUUUUCUUCGAAGGCAGCUGAACAGGCAGUGGGCCGAUGGCCUCUGAUGUGCAAUGGAACAGCAGCUGAAACAGUUAUUCUUGAAGAGUAACUAAGCUCACGCCUCUCAAUAGUAGACUGGCAUUUGAUGGAGGGAUAUGGAGAAGAAUGGGAUGCUGAGAUGAAGCCAUAUAUACACAGCCAGGAAGAAUGGACAGCUGAGUUGGAAAACCAUCAUCAAUUUCCAGAAUUUGAAAUCCUGAAUCAUGACAUGACACUGGUGGAAUUCAGGUGUUUCUGGUACAUGGACUACUCUCACUCAAUGUGAGGUUGAACUGUUGACCUUGUGUACAUCCUGCUUCACAAAUGAGUCUGUCGGAUAUGCUGGGCCUAUAGGCUGAAGAUGAUGCCCCAGCACUUCGGAGAAACCUCAGGUGACUGUCCAGACAGCUGUCUGUUUCUGUCAACUCACAAAUUUUUUGGAGGUUGCUUAUGUGCACUUCCUGUUUUUAUUUUUGUUAGCUAAUAUUAUUUCCUUCUUGGGUCUCUGAGGGAGUUGAAGAUUAGUUAGUUAUAGUUGAAGGUUAGUUAGUUAUAGUUGAAGAUUAAUUAGGAUACAUUUUGGACUUACAAAAAUAGGAUAGAUAAUGAAAUUAUUUUCUCUGAAUUUGUCAAAUACAAAUGGACUAGACAUUGUUUAGGUAUUUAUUACUUGUAUAUAUUGUAUAUAGUUAUUGUCCUUUUGUAUAUAGUUUUUCUUAUAUUAGUUAUAAGCUUUUUCUUUUUUUUCCUUUUUAUUAAAAUAGAAAAGGGGAAAUAUGGUGAUAUUUUAUUUGUAUUAAAAUGUUAUUUGUAUGUUAAUAAAUAAAGUUGCCCGGGGGUCAGAGCUAUUAGCAAGCCAUAGGAAAGCAGGGCAGUGGUAGCGUACGCUUGUAAUUCCAGCACUUAGUAGGCAGAGCUGGGUAAGUCUCUGUGUGUUCAGGGAUACAGCCAUUAUUGGAUACACAUGCCUUUAAUCUUAAUACCAAUCAUGGAAAACCUGGAGGCCUAUACAGACAGGCUGUGAGGAGGCGGUCAUGUGGUUGGGUUUACAACCAAUGAGAAGGCAGGACAGGAACUCUAUAUAAAGACUUUAACAGAGGGGUAGCUCUGGUUCGGAGAGGUAGGACCACUGCAGGAGGAAGGGUAAGGUUUUGGCUCUUGGCUCUGACCUCUUGGCUUUCUUCUUUGCAUUGGUUCUGUGUUUAUUGUUUGAUGGGAAGGUUGGAUACAUCUACAGGUAAAUUCUAGCUGUAGAGAGACGGCGGUUUAAAUCUGCCUCUUCCCACUCGGGAGCAGUACAAGUCAUCUUCUUUCUCUGGGCCCCGGUGGUGCCCUCAUCGGUAAAGCGGGUGAAGUUGGACGAUGCUGCAUAAUGCCGCCUGUCUCAUCAUGUGGCGGAGACUUCUGGAUGGCGGGGAAUCUUGCAGAUGGGAGCCCCCAGUCCAAGAGAAUGCUGCUCCCACCAGAACCCUGGAAUACACCGGAAGGCCACCCUGCCCCUCCCGCCUCACGAGAUGUGAACUUGACAGUGGGAAGAAGUCUGCCUAGGUGGAAAUUCUCACUCCCUCCUUCAUCCACCCCCUCCACUUUCUGCCUCUGUGAAUUUGAUAUUCCCAGGGCCCUCAUCUAACUGGGCUAUCUUUGUGAGAUGGACUUAAUUCACUCAAGCAACAGGGACCGGAUGAUACAGCCCAGGUGACCGGUACAGGACAGGAAACAAUGGUGGCUCACACUGGACAGGCCUGUUUCCCCCCUUUACACAGGCCAUCGGGCUGCAUUGCCAUGCCUAGAUCUGGGCCAGGGUUAUUGACAGACACCAUUACCCUGUUGAAGAAGACAGUCCCCUUUGGCCUGCGUUGCUACUGUGACCAUCCGUCCCUAUGUCUACCCCGCAGUCAGAGCUGCAGGUCGGAUACGCCAGAAAGAUGCUGAAGCCACGGACACUGUCACUGCAGUUGGAGUUCUCUUCAUGCACCAGCACAUCAAAGGAUUCGGGGAGUUCUGAUGGCCAUGUGAGCAUUGUUGGCAUUUUUUGGAGAGACAUUAACAGGAUGAUGCAUCAAAAUAAGCAACCCCAACCGAUGGUGAUUUACUCGUGGAAUGGGCGAAGUGGGAAGGUACACAGUUAAUUUCCAGAUGUGUGGAGGUGGAGCGAGGUGCUGGGCCCCGCAGGACGUGCUGGGGCAGCAGGGCUUGGUUCUGGCAAAGGGUGACUGCUGGUGUUUCCCUGAGCAGGCUUGGGGAGGGGAGGUUUAAAGAAGCUGUAUACCCAGGGGCAGUCUGGGGAUGCUGGUUUGACCAGAGAAGUUACAUCAGCUUUCCAAAAUACCACAGCAUCGAAGUGGCAGAGUCAGGAUGGGAAGCCCUCUUGUGGCACCUGCAGUGUGUCACAAAGCUGCUUAAGGCUCUGUCACAGCUUUGACAGCCUCCUCUGCCACCUCUGGGUGACAAGGAGACAUGGGUAGGUCUGUAACCUGGGUAGCUGCCUUCCUGGAUACUACCCUGGCUGUACCGGGGCAGAGAAGAGCUGGCAUGUGCAAGGACACGGGGCCUGGAAUUUACUGGAUGGCUCUGGGAUCAACUCACAGAGGGACCGGAGAUGCGGGAGCUCUCCCCAGCUUAUGUUCCAGACAGACAUGCAGUUGUACACGCCGCCGUUUGGCUAAGGAUACCAGCUUGUGGGAAGAGGGGUUUGGAGCAUCCGUACCGAGCUGUCAGCCCGCUUCUUGCCCAUCCUGUAACAGCUCCGCACGCCCGACCCUCCAUGUGUGAUGUUCAUUUAGCUCUUGGUUGUAUGUAUUUAGCUCCUGGGGACAAAUACAAUACAGUGGGAGAGGGCAUGGGGUCUGGGUUCAAAUCCCUCCUCUUCACGGAGGGUUCCCUUCAUGUGGCCUAAUUUCCCAGCCUCUGGGUAUCAGAGGCUCUGAUCUCUUUCUAGAGAAGUGUGGGGACCACCUCAGAACACAUGACUUUGUCCCCUACCCCUAUGUCCUGGGUCUUAAAAAUGCCAGCUUUGGAUCUUUGCUUCUGUCUCAAUGGUCUUACACACUCACUUACAUCUUUGUCCCUCCCUGGGCCUCAAUUUCCCCAUCUGCACGAAAUGAGCUGAAGAGAGAUCACCUGGAACCACCAGCCGGUGUCUGGGUUUGAAAGGACCUCCAGCAUCUGUGGUGCUUGAGGAUCAACAGUGGCAUGGGGUCCCGUCUGCCUCCUCCCUCAUGCAUCAGAAGAUACAAAGAGUUCAUUCUCCCUGACUCCUGGACUCACCACCUUGUGGACAAGUCACAGGGGCACAGGAGACACAGUCACUGCAAGGAUUCUUUCAUGCUCACCCAAGGCAGACUGAAGCCAGCAUCAGCACCAGAGAUCCACUCUGCAGCCGCAUGCCAGCCCACGGUGGACCCAUAACCAUCACUUUCCCCUCUUUUCUUCCCUCCACCGGUUCCCUGGCCCCUGCCCAACACCAUUCUACUUUCCGGAAGGCUCCCUUGACCCCUGGGUCCUUCAGCCACAACAGAGGUGGCGCCGGCUGGAAUCCAGGCGUGAAAUUAUGAAAGAAUGGGGCCGCCACAGGCUGCGGGUGCGCUCUGGCCUCAGAUGUGAAAUUGCCAUCUUUCCCUCUCCCCCCUCCCUCGCACCGGCCUGUCGCGUGCGGGGCGGAAAAGAUUGUAUUUAUCACCUGUCAGGAUCUGCCAGAACUGAGUUACGUGAGGCAGGACAGCAUAAAAUUAUCAUACACAAGCAUGAAAUUACAAAAUCGCUCGGAACUGAACAACAAAAUUAUUUCAUUUCGGAGGGAGGCCAUUCCAUUUUUUAGCCGUGACACCUUCACUGCCAAACUUUGAAUUGAAAUUGAGUGUGCGGGCCGCGGGAUAGAGACAGCAAUAACCAGAAGAAGCGUGUAAACUGGCCAUGCGGACAUGCUACACGGAUGGCCCCAGAGCCUCCCUUGGAGCCAUGCUGCUAAGCAAGUGUCACAUGUCCCCGUUGCUCAGCUCGCCUUCCAUGACCGAGAACAACUCAAGUCGAUGUAGAACCCAGGCCUAGUACUGGGACAUUCCUGCGAGGCACUAGGAGAUGGCUAUGCUCCAUGUGGUAGUGUGGACCGGAUAGCAGACACAUUGGCUGUGCACUCAUGGGGAUGGGAGAUGGAACACCCGCUCCAGGGUUCCUUAGCUGUGUGAUGAUGACCUGGUUUCUAAACCUCUCUGAGCCUCUGUUUUUAUCUUCUAUGCGCAGAUUGUUGUUUCGUGAAGUUGUGAGAACAAACCUCUCAGAGUCUGACACCCGCUGUGCACACAGGAGUCCCGUGGGCUGGGAUGAAGGGGUGCCUGCCCUCUUUCUCUACAAAGGUUUUGCGUCUUUGUGUUUUUGUCUGGGGGAUAAGGUCCUGCUACAUAGUCCUGCAUGGUUCAGAACCUACAGUCAUCCCCCUGGGUCCAUUUUGUGGGUAUUAGGGUUGCGAGUGUGAGCCACUGUGCCCAGCUUUUGUGCCAUUUCACACUCGGCAGCCGAAGCGUUUGUCAACAGACUUUCUUAAGCUCAGGCAAGAAGACCAUGACAAGACUAGUACAAGCAGGGUGAGGCUGAGCACCGAUCGACGCUCCCAGGUUCUCCACUCUUCCUUGUCCACUCAAGCCCUUGGCUACCUGAUGUCAAAGCUCUCCCAGCUGCAGGCAGGGCCUGGAACUUUGUGCUCUGCUGCCCACCACAUGCUAUCUGAAGAGGAGGAGAGGCAGGAGGUGGUCCUGAGCCAAGUCCAGCAGACACACAGGCUCUGGGAGGAAAGGCUGUUGCUGGUCCCUUAGAUUCAAGGAUUGUUUGUUAUACAGCAGGUACGGACGGUCUGAGUCAGAGCACGGCCUCAGAGCGUCACCUCUGUGGACACCCCGAGGAACAAGUAAAAUUCUUGCGGGACUUGGGGCAGUCCCUUUAUUGAGUGUGGUCAUCCUGUGAGCUACAUCACACCAUGGACACAGCCACUUCAGGGUCAACGCUGUCCCUUGAAUCCAGUGACUAGCCUAGGACAGAGAGGUUAUUUGUGACAUGCAUUUUAUUCUUCUGAAACAAAACACAGAUGUUUUACGUAAAUAUAAGAUAUAUUGGAUAUAAGGAUAUGUUGCUUUGGAAAAGAGGCUCUGCUUUUGUUUCUACAGAAAGCCAGAGGCUAUGGAUUUGUUCCAGAUUAAGAUACAUCAGGUUUGACCAGCCAAGACCACCUGAAAGGUCUCUGAUGACACCAUGGCCCAGAUGAUCCAACAUCCAGAAUCGUUCCAAGGCAACUGGCUCAGACGAUACAGCCUCACGGACUACUCCACGAUCCUAAAAUUUUCUUUGUGUCUCCAUAAGAUACAGCACUCCCCCUCCAGCAGGAAGUAGUAAGAGAAGCUAUGCCCAAAAUCCCAAAUAUACCAAGCUGACUUUGGAGAUGUGUAAAAGUUAAAACCUUCCUUUUUAAAAGAGAAAAGGGGAAGUGCUGUGGGAUGGUCUGUAUGUCAAAUCUGUUGCUCUGAUUGGUCAAUAAAUAAAACACUGAUUGGCCAGUGGCCAGGCAGGAAGUAUAGGCGGGACUAACAGAGAGGAGAAUUAAGGGAACAGGAAGGGAAAAGGAGACACUGCCAGCCGCCACCAGGACAAGCAGCAUGAAAAGAUGCCAGUAAGCCAUGAGCCACGUGGCAAGGUAUAGAUUUAUAGAAAUGGAUUAAUUUAAGAUAUAAGAACUAGAUAACAAGAAGCCUGCCACGGCCAUACAGUUUGUAAGCAAUAUAAGUCUCUGUGUUUACUUGGUCGGGUCUGAGCAGCUG